AACGAACGCUGGCGGCAUGCCUAACACAUGCAAGUCGAACGAACCCUUCGGGGUUAGUGGCGCACGGGUGCGUAACGCGUGGGAAUCUGCCCUUUGCUUCGGAAUAACUCAGGGAAACUUGUGCUAAUACCGGAUGAUGUCUUCGGACCAAAGAUUUAUCGGCAAGGGAUGAGCCCGCGUAGGAUUAGGUAGUUGGUGGGGUAAAGGCCUACCAAGCCGACGAUCCUUAGCUGGUCUGAGAGGUUGAUCAGCCACACUGGGACUGAGACACGGCCCAGACUCCUACGGGAGGCAGCAGUGGGGAAUAUUGGACAAUGGGCGCAAGCCUGAUCCAGCAAUGCCGCGUGAGUGAUGAAGGCCCUCGGGUCGUAAAGCUCUUUUACCAGGGAUGAUAAUGACAGUACCUGGAGAAUAAGCUCCGGCUAACUCCGUG
rnacentral:rRNA from 1 species